rnacentral:rRNA from 1 species
GACGAACGCUGGCGGCGUGCUUAACACAUGCAAGUCGAACGGAAAGGCCUCUUUCGGGGGGUACUCGAGUGGCGAACGGGUGAGUAACACGUGAGUAACCUGCCCUUGACUUUGGGAUAACUUCAGGAAACUGGGGCUAAUACCGGAUAGGAGCUCCUGCUGCAUGGUGGGGGUUGGAAAGUUUCGGCGGUUGGGGAUGGACUCGCGGCUUAUCAGCUUGUUGGUGGGGUAGUGGCUUACCAAGGCUUUGACGGGUAGCCGGCCUGAGAGGGUGACCGGCCACAUUGGGACUGGGAUACGGCCCAGACUCCUACGGGAGGCAGCAGUGGGGAAUAUUGCACAAUGGGUGGGAGCCUGAUGCAGCAACGCCGUGUGCGGGAUGACGGCCUUCGGGCUGUAAACCGCUUUCGCUCAUGACGAAGCUUUGUGUGACGGUAGUGGGUAAAGAAGCACCGGCUAACUACGUG